rnacentral:rRNA from 1 species
CAGUAGCCGCGGUAAUACGUAGGUGGCAAGCGUUGUCCGGAAUUAUUGGGCGUAAAGGGCUCGCAGGCGGUUUCUUAAGUCUGAUGUGAAAGCCCCCGGCUCAACCGGAGAGGGUCAUUGGAAACUGGGAAACUUGAGUGCAGAAGAGGAGAGUGGAAUUCCACGUGUAGCGGUGAAAUGCGUAGAGAUGUGGAGGAACACCAGUGGCGAAGGCGACUCUCUGGUCUGUAACUGACGCUGAGGAGCGAAAGCGUGGGGAGCGAACAGGAUUAGAGACCCCUGUAGUCCCUGUCUCUUAUAA